AUCUACCCUUGGUCAGGUUGAAGUUCAGGUAACACUGAAUGGAGGACCGAACCGACUUACGUUGAAAAGUGAGCGGAUGAACUGAGGGUAGCGGAGAAAUUCCAAUCGAACCUGGAGAUAGCUGGUUCUCUCCGAAAUAGCUUUAGGGCUAGCCUCAAGUGAUGAUUAUUGGAGGUAGAGCACUGUUUGGACGAGGGGCCCCUCUCGGGUUACCGAAUUCAGACAAACUCCGAAUGCCAAUUAAUUUAACUUGGGAGUC
rnacentral:rRNA from 1 species